rnacentral:rRNA from 1 species
CGUAGGGUGCAAGCGUUAAUCGGAAUUACUGGGCGUAAAGCGUGCGCAGGCGGUGAUGUAAGACAGUUGUGAAAUCCCCGGGCUCAACCUGGGAACUGCAUCUGUGACUGCAUCGCUGGAGUGCGGCAGAGGGGGGUGGAAUUCCGCGUGUAGCAGUGAAAUGCGUAGAUAUGCGGAGGAACACCGAUGGCGAAGGCAACCCCCUGGGCCUGCACUGACGCUCAUGCACGAAAGCGUGGGGAGCAAACAGGAUU